UUGGCAUGAGCGAAACAAGAGAUGGUUUGGUAAAGAGGUGACUUCAGGAGAGUACUUGCUCAGUAAAAUUAUCUCUUGGUGGGAGUUAUUUGAGCCUUUGAGGGUGCUAAUAAAAAGAAAUUGAGGAAGGACAAAGGAAGGAGGUUGCUGCUAGAGAGAGAGGUGCGAUUCGGUGGGUGAAACCUAGAAGUGGAGUGGUGAAGCUGAACAUAGACGGGGCAUUGGAUUCUAAAAGAGGAGUCUAUGGUACGGGGGCUGUGUGUCGGGAUGAGAAUGGCAGUUGAUUGGGUCUGCUAGCAGUGCCGGGAACAGGCUUCCUAAUUAAGUCCUCAUGAUGUUGAGGUACUGGCCCUAGUCCACGGACUUCAAUUCUGUGUUCAGACCGGAUUUUCUUAUCUGGAAAUUAAUUGAAGGCGAUGCCUUGAAUGUCUUUGCAGGAUUGGAUGAGUCUCUAGCUGACCUCAUAUAUAUGGACGAAGCUAAAAGUCUGAUUGGCUGUUUUGAGGUGUGUUCCAAGAGGCUGCAAUAGAGUAGCUCAUGAGGCUGUAAAAAUUGCAGUAGCUCUACCAUAUCCUACGGCAACCAAUGGCGGACCUAAGAUUUUAGCUUAGGGUGGGCUGAAAUUUUUUUCUUUAAAAUUUUUUAAUUUUUUUCUUCUAUAUUUUACAUAGAGUGCGGCUAUUGGAACCUCCAAAUUUACUCAGUUAACCUCACUUUAUUAUGAGUUAUUGUAUGUCAGAUAUGUCCUCUUACAUAAUGACUAUUAAGGACAAUAACAAAAAGAAGUAAUAUAUUUAUUUUCUCUAGA
rnacentral:lncRNA from 1 species